rnacentral:rRNA from 1 species
AGAAUUGACCAUGUGCCUAUUCGCAGCUCUUGCUUUGCCUUAAUCGUGCAUAAGCGAUGACUUUCAAAAUUCAUAGCUUGUUGUGUUCCAGCAGUCAUAUAGCUGAUUACACCAUUGUCGACAAACUGCUUUGUGUACUUUGCAUGAUCACCAUGUUCGUGUGUGAUAAGACACCCUGCUAUAUGUCUUGUUUUAUAUUUGAAAUGCUUUUGAACACGUUCAAAUUUUAUACCUGCCUCAAGUAGUAACGUAGUACGUCCAUCAUUUAAGACGUAGCAGUUACCACUUGAACCAGU